CUGCAAGAGAGGAGGGCCUCUGGACAUCAAAGGUUCCUUUUGUCCCUUUCCGAGUGGCAGGGCAGCCGGGCCACUGGCUAUGACUCAGGCCUGGCCCUGACGUCACCCACGGCUUGCCACUGGCCUCGGUUUGCAGCCAGGAACCUGGCCAGGGAGUGGUUCUCAUAGCGGCAGCAAAUCUCAAAACCGGGAGCUCACUGCUGUGCUCUCCCCAUCUCCCCACAACCCAUCUUAACCUUUUUUCUUCUUCUUUUUAAGCCGUAAGGCGGCCUUUUCUUAUAGAUCAACUUUCCAAAUCUAAGCAGUCAGAAUGAGUGACGUCAUGAGAAAAUUAUGUGGAGCACAUCUCAACCAGGAGUUGAGGAAUCCAGAGGACGAAUGCGGUUGGUAACUCCUGAGCCCAGGGAGUUGGCAGAGUGUGGGCUUCCAAGGAGCCAGCACCUCCGAACCGAGCUGUCUUGAAUUGAGGCCAUGACGUCCUACUGUUCCUGUGGCUGAAAGAGCUGAGUGCUGUGUGACAAAUACUUUGUUGAACCAAGACUCUGAGGCUGAAAUGCAAUGUCACUUACAACAUUAAUCAGAUCCCGCAUUUAAGGUAGGAGGAAAGGUGGACUAUUUUUAACUCCCAGCCACUGCAUCCGGUGCAAGCAACUCCGGCUCUCACGUUUGUGUUUGCAGAGCCCGUGUCAGUGGUUUGAUUUUCAGCAAAUGUGACAGUGGCCUUUGCAGUGGUCAGCUCUGAGCUUUGAACUCUCAGAGGAGC